rnacentral:rRNA from 1 species
GAUGAACGCUGGCGGCGUGCUUAACACAUGCAAGUCGAACGAAGCACUUUAACCUGAUUCUUCGGAUGAAGGUUUUUGUGACUGAGUGGCGGACGGGUGAGUAACGCGUGGGUAACCUGCCUCAUACAGGGGGAUAACAGUUAGAAAUGACUGCUAAUACCGCAUAAGACCACAGAGCCGCAUGGCUCGGUGGGAAAAACUCCGGUGGUAUGAGAUGGACCCGCGUCUGAUUAGGUAGUUGGUGGGGUAACGGCCUACCAAGCCAACGAUCAGUAGCCGACCUGAGAGGGUGACCGGCCACAUUGGGACUGAGACACGGCCCAAACUCCUACGGGAGGCAGCAGUGGGGAAUAUUGCACAAUGGGGGAAACCCUGAUGCAGCGACGCUGCGUGAGCGAAGAAGUAUUUCGGUAUGUAAAGCUCUAUCAGCAGGGAAGAAAAUGACGGUACCUGACUAAGAAGCACCGGCUAAAUACGUG